rnacentral:ribozyme from 1 species
GGUCUGUCCUUUGGCAGAGUGGACUUUCGGCUUGAUCGUCCGAGAGGGGGCCAAGUGGCUUCGCUUUGAUCUUAAAAUUGCUGCUCCAAAGGGAAGACUUGAAGAGAGAAACACCUGUGAUUAACGACCACAGGGUAUAUUACCUCUU